rnacentral:rRNA from 1 species
AGACCUCAAUUUGAGCAAGAUUACCCGCUGAACUUAAGCAUAUCAGUAAGCGGAGGAAAAGAAACUAACUAGRAUUU